rnacentral:rRNA from 1 species
UAUUGUUCGCCAGAGUACUACAAGCGCUAGCUUAAAACCCAAAGGACUUGGCGGUAUCCCACACCCACCUAGAGGAGCCUGUUCUAUAACCGAUAACCCCCGUUCAACCUCACCACUUCUUGCCAUUACCGUCUAUAUACCGCCGUCGUCAGCUCACCCUGUGAAGGGCUAAAAGUAAGCAAAAUGAAUAAAACUUCAAAACGUCAGGUCGAGGUGUAGCAAAUGAAGUGGAAAGAAAUGGGCUACAUUUUUUUAUAAAAACACACGAAUGGUAAACUGAAAAACACCUAAAGGUGGAUUUAGCAGUAAGAAGAGAUUAGAGUGCUCUUCUGAAAUUGGCUCUGGGAUAAGCACACACCGCCCGUCACUCUCCUCAAUAAAUAAAUUACUUUUUUAUAAAUACACUUCUUCGACAAGAGGAGGCAAGUCGUAACAUGGUAAGUGUACUGGAAAGUGCACUUGGAAU